UCCCUGCUGGCUCAGUGGUAAAGAAUCUGCCUGCAAUGCAGGAGACCCAGGUUCCCAGGUUCGAUACCUGGGUUGGGAA
rnacentral:tRNA from 1 species